rnacentral:ncRNA from 1 species
GGCCACGGCCCCUCCGGCCGCCGGACGAGUGGAGUCGUACCCGGAGCGCGACAAGACGGCCACGAA